GACGUAGGGGGCGAGCGUUGUCCGGAUUUAUUGGGCGUAAAGAGCUCGUAGGCGGUUGCGUAAGUCGGAUGUGAAAACUCAGGGCUCAACCCUGAGACGCCAUCCGAUACUGCGCUGACUCGAAUCCAGUAGGGGAGUGUGGAAUUCCUGGUGUAGCGGUGAAAUGCGCAGAUAUCAGGAGGAACACCCAUGGCGAAGGCAGCACUCUGGGCUGGUAUUGACGCUGAGGAGCGAAAGCAUGGGUAGCGAA
rnacentral:rRNA from 1 species